UUCUCGUUCUCCGCUCGAUGAACGAGUGUGUGUGUGGUUUGCUCUCCUGUAUUGGCGCGUUGGAAGAACUGCUCGUGUGUGUGAUUGCUGCUCUCGACAAUUUAGCGAUUAUUUCCGUGCUGAUGACCUGUUGAUCCGAAAACGCGGUGUGCGUGCAACUCCGCGGGGUUUCAGCUACCUAAUGUUCGCUCUUGUGUUCAUACUCGGCUGAGUUGCGAGUGUCCAUUUGUACAGAAUAUACUGCAUUGCAACCCACUUCUGCCUUUAGUGAGACUGUUACGUCCAGUCAUCAAAGUGAGUCAUAGCGCAAUGUUGGAAGGUACGUGAGUAUUUUGUUUGUUUUAUGGUGAAAUAUGGGGGUUUUACGUGCAAUAAAAAUGUCAAUUGGUUUUAAUUACAGGUUUUAAAUCCUCUCUCGGAUUUAGCGGCCACCGUUUCUUUCCCACUAAAAUUUGAGAUUUAUUUAUUAGUUGUAGUGUUUGCUUUAUAUUUAGUUUAUUGGGUGUUCAUGGUAUUAUAACUUUUGUGAUUUUAUGAUAUUCAUUUUGUUGUGAAUUUUGUUUUAUUGAUUGGUGUACCACGGUAUGGGAGGUCUUACUUUUGGUUUGUGUGAUUUUGUUUGUGUUUCAGGUAUGAUUUGAGUGGUUUUGAAUAAUUUUGGGUUUCUGUUUCCUCCCAUGUGGUGUGUUAUCCAGUCUAUGAUUCAGGGUUGAUUUGCCUUAUCUUGGGUAUCAUAUUCAUCAUUGGUUUUAUACAAUGUAAUUUAAUAGUUUAAUUUAAGUUGGUUUACUUUAUUUCAG